rnacentral:rRNA from 1 species
AUUGAACGCUGGCGGCAGGCCUAACACAUGCAAGUCGAACGAGUGGCGGACGGGUGAGUGAUUUCUGGGAAACUGCCCGAUGUAGGGGGGUAACUACUGGGAACGGUAGCGAAUACCGCACACGAUCAGAUGUGCCCAGAUGGGAUUAGCUAGUAGGUGGGGUAACGGCUCACCUAGGCGACGAUCCCUAGCUGGUCUGAGAGGAUGACCAGCCACACUGGAACUGAGACACGGUCCAGACUCCUACGGGAGGCAGCAGUGGGGAAUAUUGCACAAUGGGCGCAAGCCUGAUGCAGCCAUGCCGCGUGUAUGAAGAAGGCCUUCGGGUUGUAAAGUACUUUCAGCGAGGAGGCGUUACUCGCAGAAGAAGCACCGGCUAACUCCGUGCCAGCAGCCGCGGUAAUUC